CAAUCCCCAAUAACUCUCACCAGCAUUUUAGGGUUUAGUUCCGUCUCUGCUCAAAAAUCCCUAAAUCCGAAUCUAAGAGGUUAAAGUGACGGCGACGCCACUGUCCGCCUUGACUCAGCCACAGCUGCUCCGUCUUGGCCCUCAUUUUUGUACCUCCUCUAUUCAUUUCUAGGGUUUUGUGAAUUAGACAUUUUUUGUAGUUCAAAAGAAAUGGCGCCUAAAUUGUCAAAGAGCGACAAGAAGCUAGCCUAUUAUGCCAAUUUAUCGAUGAGUACACCCAGAUUCUGGUGGUGUUUGCCGACAACGUCGGUUCAACCCAGCUCCAGAACAUCAGGAAAGGCCUGAGAGGCGAUUCCGUGGUUCUCAUGGGGAAGAACACUAUAUGAUGAAGCUCCACGCUGAGAAGACCGGAAUCAGUCUAUUCUCAACCUGCUCCCUCUCCUUGGUAACGUUGGAUUGAUCUUCACCCAGGGUGACGUGAAGGAAGUUUGCCAAAUACGAGGUUGGAGCACCUGCUCGUGUUGGUUUGGUCGCUCAAAUUGAUGUUGUUGUCCCUCCUGGCAACACUGGUCUUGACCCAUUGUAGGCUUCUUUCUUCCAGGUACUCAUCAAAUGGCCCCCAAACGCUCUAAAAUGGGAUGCAUUGGCGGCGUUGGAUAGCGUGCCAUCAAGAUAUCCAAACUGGGCCACGCUCAAUGGCCUCGGCAUCAAGCAAUCUUGGGACAUCAUCGUCGAGGCGGGCCAUCUCACACAUUUGUUCGAGAGGAAGUUCGGGUCGUACAAGGCCCUGACGGUAGAGUUCUUCUCCACACUUAAGGUGGAGUACUCCGGAAAUGGGAUGCAUUGGCGGCGUUGAAUCAAAGAAAUGGGAUGCAUUGGUGGCGUUGGAUAGCGUGCCAUCAAGAUAUCCAAACUAGGCCACGCUCAAUGGCCUCGGCAUCAAGCAAUCUUGGGACAUCAUCGUCGAGGCGGGCCAUCUCACACAUUUGUUCGAGAGAAAGUUCGGGUCGUACAGGGCCCUGACGGUAGAGUUCUUCCCCACACUUAAGGUGGAGUACUUCGGAAAGAGGAUUGAGUCGAUGUCUUUCCGACUUAUGAAUGAUGUACAUGACCUUACCGUCGAAGAUAUUAAUGAGCUCUUCUAGUUGACGGAAGAAGGUGAAGAAGGCUUUCUUGAGGACCCUCGGCCUGCGGACUACAGGAGAGACGAGUUUUGGGGAAUGAUCAGCAAUGAAGCGGCUUUCAAUUCAUCUAGAGCCAAAAUCAAUGCCAUCAAAAACCCAGUGCUGAGAUAUAUGGCGAAGGUCCUUGUCUACCUUCCCUUUGGCCACACGGAAGCAGGAAGCAUUUCAACAGAGAUGCUAUUCUUGUUGUGGGGAAUGCUCAGCCGGAGAAGGAUCAACAUGAGCCACUACAUGAUUAAGCAUUUGGAGAGGCAAUCGAAGAAGACGAUCAGAAAGCUUUGUUGUGGGGGAAUAGUAGCGGCUUUGGCCUAUAAAUUCGGAGUCUGCUUACAAUCGGACAUAAGAUCAAGGACCCUCGGUACUGGACUAGGAAACAAUCAAGAAGGCAGGCAUUAUAAUUGUUGAUAGCCGGGGUGUGGUGUAUUUCAAGAUAGAACCAGGGAUGUGUAUUAGAUUCCCCGACCCGCAGCUCUUCGCAGUUGGAGGAUGGGGUUACAAAGAAAACUGGAAAAUGAACUCUCCGGCUCAUUUGGAGAAGAUCAGAAAUGAUCCCCCUCAAGGAGAAGGUUCUCCAGACGCUAGGCCGGUCUUCAUAGACCCAGCCUAUUUGCUGUAGCCUCAUAUAUCCGAGGAGCCUCGGCAAAUCCAUGAUACACUGGCGGUCAUGGAUGAGGAAGGUGAUGAGAUCGGCUCUGAGUUUGAAGUGGGUCCAAGUAGUCGGCCCAAGAGGAGUAGACCGCAGGGGAGACCGUCCAGAGAUAGCUAUCUGGCGGAAAUUGCUGUAGGGGUACGAUCGCUUUAGGUGAGCCAUGAUCAGUAGGAGGCUCGUUGGAAUCAGUCGAAUGCGGAGGCAAUGGCAUAAAGAGCCCAGUGCGACACCCGGUUGAAUAACUAUGGGGAACCUGCUUGACCACUAUGGGGAACAACUUCAGCACCUGCACACUCAGCUCGAAGCUAGUGAUGCAGCACAACAAGCUUUCUACUAGGCAUACUACGUGAGGUUCCCGUCGCCAUCGGAAUAGAGGUACCUCUACCAUCCACUGCUCUUCAAACUUAUUCUACCUCUGUUUUGAAUAAGUUAGGGAGGUUCUGACGUUGAUCGGUUGCUCCUUCCCCCACUUGUUUAAGGAAUAUUUUUGCUUAUUUGGUGUCGUUUGGUGUAAGUUCCGUCUGUGAGACUCGAAUUCGAAUAUGGAUGAAUGUAAGAUAAUUUGUGCUAAACAAUGAGUUGAUAGCUGAUGAUGAUAAUUGCUUUUUCUUGAAAAUUUUGGUUAGAAUGGUUAGGGACGUGCGUGAUCAAUUCAUGAUUUAAUUGUGAGUGAAGUGCUUGUCUGCUUGGUCAAUGCUAAACCCGGUGAGAUUUGAGCCCUAUGUUGUUCAUGUGUUGUUCAUGUGUGAUUUGAUUGGGUACGUGCUUUUAUUUUAGAACUUGCCCCUCGUCAUAUCAAGUCUAUAUAGUGGAUGUGAACUUAAGAGAUGAAGUUACACAUUCUUUAAUUAUCUUCAUACCCUCGUAAAUCCCUAGUUAGCCCUCAUAGCAAAAAAAUGGGUUUGAGGAUAAUCAAAGAAUGCCUAACUUCAUCUCUUAAGUUCACAUCCACUAUAUAGACUUGACAUGACGAGGGGCAAGUUCUAGAUACAAAAGCACGUACGUAAUCAAAUCACAUGAACAACAUAUGUGGCUCAAAUCUCGCCGGAUUUAGAUUGACCAAGCAGACAAACACUUCACUCUCAAUUAAAUAAUAAAUUGAUCACGCACGUCCCUAACUAUUCUAACCAAAAUUAUCAAGACAAAGCAAUUAUCAUCAUCAACUAUCAAUUCAUUGUUUAGCACAAAUUAUCUUACAUUCAUCUAUAUUCGAGUUCCACAGGCGGGACUUACACCAAAUGAUACCAAAUAAGCAAACAUAUUCCUUAAACAAGUGGGGGAAAGGAGCAACCGAUCCACUUUAGAACCCCCAAACUUAUUCAAGACAGAUGAUAGAAUAAGUUUGAAGAGCAGUGGAUGGUUGAGGUACGUCUAUUCCGAUGGCGGCGUGAACCUCGCGUAGUAUGCCUGGUAGAAAGCCUGUUGUGACGCAUCACUAGCUUCGAGCCGAGUGUGCAGGUGCUGAAGUUGUUCCCCAUAGUGGUCAAGCCGGUUCCCAUAGUUAUCCAACCGGGUGUCGCACUGGGCUCUCUAUGCCACUACGCCUCUCUAUGCCACUACCUCCGCGUUCGCCUGAUUCCAACGGGCCUCCUGCUGAUCAUGGCUCUCCUGAAGCGAUCGUACUCCUGCAGCAAUUUCCGCUAUAUAGCUAUCUCUGGACGGUCUACUCCUCUUGAGCCGACUACUUUGACCCACUUCAAACUCAGAUCCGAUCUCAUCACCUUCCUCAUCCAUGGCCGCCGGCGCAUCAUGGAUUUGCAGAGGUUCCUCGGGGAUAUGAGGCUGCGGCAAAUGGGUAAACCUAUGAAGACCGGCCAAGCGUCUGGAGAACUUUCUCCUUGAUGGGGAUCAUUUCCGAUCUUCUCCAAAUGAACUGGGGAGUUCAUUUUCCAGUUUUAUUUGUAACCCCGUCCUCCGACUGCGAAGAGCUGCGGGUCGGUGAAUCUGAUGCAUAUCCCUGAUUCUAUCUUGAAAUACCCCAUACCCCGGCUAUCAACCAUUAUAAUGUCCGUCUUCUUGAGUAUUCCCCCACAACAAAGCUUUUCGGUCGUCUUCUUCGAUUGCCUAUCUAAAUGCUUAAUCAUGUAGUGACCCAUGUUGAUCCUUCUCCGGCUGAGCAUUCCCCACAGCAAUAAUAGCCUCUGUUGAAAUGCUUCCUGCUUCCUUGUGGCCAAAGGCAAGGUAGACUAGGGCCUUCGCCAUAUAUCUCAGCACUGGGUUUGAUGGCGUUGAUUUUGGCUCUAGAUGGAUUGAAAGCCGCUUCACUGUUGAUCAUUCCUCAAAACUCGUCUCUCCUGUAGUCCGCAGGCCGAGGGUCCUCAAGAAGGCCUUCUUCAACUUCUUCCGUCAACUGGAAGAGCUUAUUAAACUCUUCGACGGUAAGGUCAUGUACUUCAUUCAUAAGUCGGAAAGACAUCGACUUAAUCCUCUUUUCGGAGUACUCCACCUUAAGUGUGGUGAAGAACUCUACCGUCAGGGCCUUGUAAGACCCGAACUUUCUUGCGAACAAAUGUGUGAGAUGGCCCGCCUCAACGAUGAUGUCCCAUGAUUGCUUGAUGCCGAGGUCAUUGAGCGUGCCCCAGUUUGGAUAUCUUGAUGACACGCUAUCCAAAGGACUCGCCCGGCGUCCUUUCCCUUGCACGAAGGCGUCGGAGCUACUGGAGUUAAGCCGCUGUCCGCACUGCCGUUGCUGCCCUCGUUUGCACAGUCGCCGGCUCGCUCCCAUUUCAAUAGACGCCUGCCCUCCGUUACCUGGAACACCGCGGCUACUUCCCCAACCGAAGUCAGGGCUGCCGCUGUCCAACGUGGCUGCUGCCGCUGCCACAAGCCGGCGAUUAGCACGACUGUCGGCCAGAGCAGUGAUUUGCAUUGAUUCCACAAUGAAAUUGAUUCGCAUUGAUUCACGAUACCAAUUAUAUUCAAGGUUAAUCAAAUCAUUAAUUUUAACGUAA